rnacentral:tRNA from 1 species
CAAAUUAGAGCUUGAUAAGCAUUUUAUUUACAUUAAAAAGAUAAUAAUUUUAUUUAAUUUGA